ACAUUCCAGCCUGGGCAACAGAGUGAAACCCUGUCUCAAAAAAAAGCAGCAACUUCUCUCUGGGAAAGGCAGGUCUUGUGACAGAGGCAAACGAGAGAUGGCAGAAUCUCACAGUGGCAUUUAUAACUUCUGCUUUGAAGUGGCAACAUUUCCAUUCACAUGUCAUUGGCCAAAGCAAGUCAUGUCCAAACUAAUAUCAAUGCAAAGCAUAAUCCCAUAAGGACACAUCUGAUAUAGAGGGGCAGUGAAAAUGUCAACAAUAAUAUAAUCUAUGAGAGGAUACAGAAGCAUAACCAGUAAAUGUUAGUGUCCUUCCCUUUCCUCUUUUCCCUUACUGGUUCCCCCUGAGAAACACAAGUGUACAGCAUGGAGAGGCUGUGUGAUGUCAUAAUUAAGAGUGUAGAUUCUGAGAACAGACUGCCUGAGUUCAAAUCCUUACUCUGCCAUUUUCCAGCUGUGUGGCUUUGGGCAAGUUAUUUAACCUCUCUGUGCCUCAACUUCUUCAUGUAAACUGGCAGUAAUAAUAAUACGAAUGCCACAGAGCUGUGGAUGAAAUGAGCCCAUGAAUGUCUGAAGACACAUCAUAACCUUUGUGACAAUGCUAAUCAUGUGGGAAUGGUGCUGUUUCCCCACCACAAGCUGGCCAAUUCCGGUCUGGCUUCUUUAACCAGGAAGAUGUGGGCUGAGAGCUGUGGAGUAGAUGUCUUCACCAGAUGAGUACACAGAGAAGUAGAGAAUGUGUAUCUGCAGAGUAGGAUGAAGCAGAGACAAGAUGAAUUUAAGUGAAUAAUGAUGCCAAAGCAUCUCAUGGAAAAAAAAACAUGAAUAAAAAGCAUUGCUCUAAAUGUAACGUUAUCAAAAUCACUGGUUAAAGCAACAUAUAGCACUCUUGUUUUUGAUACCAGUCUUGUGAAUAAGGUAUUCAGGAAGCACAGCUGUCUUUUGUUCCUGAAGCCGUAUCAGGAUUCAGCAGGAAAGAGCACCAAGAUCACUUGGCAAUGUUUAUCCUGAUCAAGCACGGGCACUGAUGGCAGAUGCAGGACAAAGGACAGAACUCUAAGUCAUCCCUGUGCUCACCUGAGACAAAUGCAUGUCUGAUUGCUUCCACUGAUGUAAAAAUGCAGAUUUGCUGAGUUAGACGAAGACGAUGGCAGAGAGCAGUCUUCAUCCUGAGCCCCAUUCCUAGGUAAGUAGCUGAAUUGGGGUUUUGUUUUGGAAAUUCUCCUUAAUGGCUAAAGUUAAGAUUAACAACCAGCUGGUCUUAAUUUCUUCUUACCAUUAGAGCACUCAGUAAUCUAAUAUAAAUUAUAAAUCUAAUAUAUUAGAUUUAUUUUGGGUUUGACCAACUCUAUCUGACUUGAUCAAAUCCAAAGGAAAGUUCCAAAUUAUGGGGAAUAAGGCCUCUGAAUUGGCUACAUUCCUGCAGCUGAAAAUAAGGAAAGAAAAAAGGGAAAAAGUAAAAGCAGCCAGGCCGGGCAUGGUGGCUCAAACCUGUAA